rnacentral:rRNA from 1 species
UACGUAGGGGGCAAGCGUUGUCCGGAUUUAUUGGGCGUAAAGAGCGUGUAGGCGGCCAGGUAGGUCUGGUGUGAAAACCCGAGGCUCAACCUCGGGCCUGCAGUGGGUACGGGCAGACUAGAGUGCGGUAGGGGAGAUUGGAAUUCCUGGUGUAGCGGUGGAAUGCGCAGAUAUCAGGAGGAACACCGAUGGCGAAGGCAGAUCUCUGGGCCGUAACUGACGCUGAGGAGCGAAAGCGUGGGGAGCGAACAGG